rnacentral:rRNA from 1 species
AGAAUCAACGCUGGCGGCGUGCCUAACACAUGCAAGUCGAACGAGAAAGUGGAGCAAUCCAUGAGUAAAGUGGCGACCGGGUGAGUAACACGUGACUAACCUACCCUAGAGUGGGGGAUAACCUCGGGAAACCGGGGCUAAUACCGCAUAACAUCGCAAGGGGAAGAUCCUUGCGAUCAAAGGAGCAAUUCGCUCAAGGAGGGGGUCGCGGCUGAUUAGCUAGUUGGUGAGGUAACGGCCCACCAAGGCUUAGAUCAGUAGCCGGCCUGAGAGGGCGCACGGCCACACUGGAACUGAAACACGGUCCAGACUCCUACGGGAGGCAGCAGUGGGGAAUUUUGCGCAAUGGGGGAAACCCUGACGCAGCAACGCCGCGUGGAGGAUGAAGUCCCUUGGGAUGUAAACUCCUUUCGAUCGGGACGAUUAUGACGGUACCGGAAGAAGAAGCACCGGCUAACUCUGCGCCAGCAGCCGC